rnacentral:rRNA from 1 species
CAGUCGCCGCGGGAAUACAGAGGGUGCGAGCGUUAAUCGGAUUUACUGGGCGUAAAGCGUGCGCAGGCGGUUAUAUAAGACAGAUGUGAAAUCCCCGGGCUCAACCUGGGAACUGCAUUUGUGACUGUAUAGCUAGAGUACGGCAGAGGGGGAUGGAAUUCCGCGUGUAGCAGUGAAAUGCGUAGAUAUGCGGAGGAACACCGAUGGCGAAGGCAAUCCCCUGGGCCUGUACUGACGCUCAUGCACGAAAGCGUGGGGAGCAAACAGGAUUAGAUACCCCUGUAGUCCCUGUCUCUUAUAC